rnacentral:tRNA from 1 species
UGUGGCUCAAAGGGUAGGGCGCCAGCCCCAUAUGCCGGAGGUGGCAGGUUCAAGCUCCUGCCA